UACGUAGGGUCCGAGCGUUGUCCGGAAUUACUGGGCGUAAAGAGCUCGUAGGUGGUUUGUCGCGUUGUUCGUGAAAACUCACAGCUCAACUGUGGGCGUGCGGGCGAUACGGGCAGACUUGAGUACUGCAGGGGAGACUGGAAUUCCUGGUGUAGCGGUGAAAUGCGUAGAUAUCUGGAGGAACACCGGUGGCGAAGGCGGCGACCUGGGUUGAUACUGACGCUGAGGCGCGAAAGCGUGGGGAGCAAACAGG
rnacentral:rRNA from 1 species